UACGGGGGGAGCAAGUGUUGUUCGGAUUUACUGGGCGUAAAGGGCGCGUAGGCGGCCACCGCAAGUCGAUUGUGAAAUCUCCGGGCUUAACCCGGAAAGGUCAACCGAUACUGCGGGGCUAGAGUGUGGCAGAGGGGGGUGGAAUUCCACGUGUAGCAGUGAAAUGCGUAGAGAUGUGGAGGAACACCGAUGGCGAAGGCAGCCCCCUGGGCUAACACUGACGCUCAUGCACGAAAGCGUGGGGAGCAAACAGG
rnacentral:rRNA from 1 species